AUACGGAGGAUGCAAGCGUUAUCCGGAUUUAUUGGGUUUAAAGGGUGCGUAGGCGGAUGAUUAAGCGUGAGGUGAAAUGCCACUGCUCAACAGUGGAUCUGCCUCGCGAACUGGUUGUCUUGAAUGCUCCUGCCGUGGGAGGAAUGUGUGGUGUAGCGGUGAAAUGCAUAGAGAUCACACAGGACACCGAUUGCGAAGGCAUCUCACGAAGGGGUGAUUGACGCUGAGGCACGAAGGCGUGGGGAUCAAACAGGAUUAGAUACCCUGGUAGUCCACGCAGUAAACGAUGAUAACUAACCGCUGGGUCGUAGUGAUUCAGUGGCCAAGCGAAAGCAAUAAGUUAUCCACCUGGGGAGUACGACCGCAAGGUUGAAACUCAAAGGAAUUGACGGGG
rnacentral:rRNA from 1 species